rnacentral:rRNA from 1 species
UACGUAGGGUGCAAGCGUUGUCCGGAAUUAUUGGGCGUAAAGAGCUCGUAGGCGGUCAGUCGCGUCUGCUGUGAAAUCUCAGGGCUCAACUCUGACAUUGCAUUCGAUACGGGCAGGCUCGAGUUCGGUAGGGGAGACUGGAAUUCCUGGUGUAGCGGUGAAAUGCGCAGAUAUCAGGAGGAACACCGGUGGCGAAGGCGGGUCUCUGGGCCAAUACUGACGCUGAGGAGCGAAAGCGUGGGGAGCGAACAGG